rnacentral:rRNA from 1 species
GACGAACGCUGGCGGCGUGCUUAACACAUGCAAGUCGAACGGUGAAGCGCCUUCCUUUUUGGUGGGUGUGGAUGAGUGGCGAACGGGUGAGUAACACGUGAGUAACCUGCCCCCUUCUUCUGGAUAACCGCAUGAAAGUGUGGCUAAUACGGGAUAUUCUGGGUCUGUCGCAUGAUGGGUCUGGGAAAGAUAUUGUUUCGGUGGGGGAUGGGCUCGCGGCCUAUCAGCUUGUUGGUGGGGUGAUGGCCUACCAAGGCGGUGACGGGUAGCCGGCCUGAGAGGGUGGAGGGUCACACGGGGACUGGGAAACGGCCCAGCCUCUAAGGGGAGGAGGCGGGGGGAAUAUUGCACAAUGGGCGCAAGCCUGAUGCAGCGACGCCGCGUGAGGGAUGGAGGCCUUCGGGUUGUGAACCUCUUUCGCCAGUGAAGCAGGCCUGCCUCGUUUGUGGGUGGGUUGACGGUAGCUGGAGAAGAAGCGCCGGCUAACUACGUG